AAUGCAGUCGAGCGAAUGGAUUAAGAGCUUGCUCUUAUGAAGUUAGCGGCGGACGGGUGAGUAACACGUGGGUAACCUGCCCAUAAGACUGGGAUAACUCCGGGAAACCGGGGCUAAUACCGGAUAACAUUUUGAACUGCAUGGUUCGAAAUUGAAAGGCGGCUUCGGCUGUCACUUAUGGAUGGACCCGCGUCGCAUUAGCUAGUUGGUGAGGUAACGGCUCACCAAGGCAACGAUGCGUAGCCGACCUGAGAGGGUGAUCGGCCACACUGGGACUGAGACACGGCCCAGACUCCUACGGGAGGCAGCAGUAGGGAAUCUUCCGCAAUGGACGAAAGUCUGACGGAGCAACGCCGCGUGAGUGAUGAAGGCUUUCGGGUCGUAAAACUCUGUUGUUAGGGAAGAACAAGUGCUAGUUGAAUAAGCUGGCACCUUGACGGUACCUAACCAGAAAGCCACGGCUAACUACGUGCCAGCAGCCGCGGUAAUACGUAGGUGGCAAGCGUUAUCCGGAAUUAUUGGGCGUAAAGCGCGCGCAGGUGGUUUCUUAAGUCUGAUGUGAAAGCCCACGGCUCAACCGUGGAGGGUCAUUGGAAACUGGGAGACUUGAGUGCAGAAGAGGAAAGUGGAAUUCCAUGUGUAGCGGUGAAAUG
rnacentral:rRNA from 1 species